rnacentral:tRNA from 1 species
GCCAACGUAGCUUAAGAUAAAGCAUGAUACUGAAGAUGUCAAAAUGGGCCCUAGAAAGCCCCGUGAGCA